UACGAAGGGGGCUAGCGUUGUUCGGAAUUACUGGGCGUAAAGCGCACGUAGGCGGAUUGUUAAGUGAGGGGUGAAAUCCCAGGGCUCAACCCUGGAACUGCCUUUCAUACUGGCAAUCUCGAGUCCGAGAGAGGUGAGUGGAAUUCCGAGUGUAGAGGUGAAAUUCGUAGAUAUUCGGAGGAACACCAGUGGCGAAGGCGGCUCACUGGCUCGGUACUGACGCUGAGGUGCGAAAGCGUGGGGAGCAAACAGGAUUAGAAACCCCCGUAGUCC
rnacentral:rRNA from 1 species